rnacentral:misc_RNA from 1 species
GUGAAUUUCCUGACGGUUGAGAAAAGAGGUUAUAUGUGUAUUCGUUUCAUUCCAAUAUUGGAAUCAGCAGCCAAUCAGCGCUUACUACGAAAAUCCGUAGUAAGAGGGCGAAGAAAGGGGGACCAGACAUUCCUUAGUAGUGGGUCAACAGUCGGUGUAUUGAGGUAGGUCAGGAAGUUCAAUCACCUCACGGUUUAUUCGAAUUAAUCCAUAUAUGGGGUGUAUCUUUGUCAAAAUUGACGUAAAAAAUCCGAAAAAAAUUCUGGGAGUAUGUACA